rnacentral:rRNA from 1 species
CCUACGGGAGGCAGCAGUGAGGAAUAUUGGUCAAUGGACGAGAGUCUGAACCAGCCAAGUAGCGUGAAGGAGGACUGCCCUAUGGGUUGUAAACUUCUUUUAUAUGGGAAUAAAAUGUUCCACGUGUGGGCUUUUGUAUGUACCAUAAGAAUAAGGAUCGGCUAACUCCGUGCCAGCAGCCGCGGUAAUACGGAGGAUCCGAGUGUUAUCCGGAUUUAUUGGGUUUAAAGGGAGCGUAGGUGGAGUGUUAAGUCAGGUGUGAAAGUUUGCGGCUCAACCGUAAAAUUGCAGUUGAAACUGGCAGUCGUGAGUACAGUAGAGGUAGGCGGAAUUCGCGGUGUAGCGGUGAAAUGCUUAGAUAUCGCGAAGAACUCCGAUUGCGAAGGCAGCUCACUGGACUGACACUGACGCUGAGGCUCGAAAGUGUGGGUAUCAAACAGGAUUAGAUACCCGUGUAGUC